UGGGGAAUUUUGGACAAUGGGGGAAACCCUGAUCCAGCCAUCCCGCGUGUGCGAUGAAGGCCUUCGGGUUGUAAAGCACUUUUGGCAGGAAAGAAACGUCGCGGGUUAAUACCCCGCGGAACUGACGGUACCUGCAGAAUAAGCACCGGCUAACUACGUGCCAGCAGCCGCGGUAAUACGUAGGGUGCAAGCGUUAAUCGGAAUUACUGGGCGUAAAGCGUGCGCAGGCGGUUCGGAAAGAAAGAUGUGAAAUCCCAGAGCUUAACUUUGGAACUGCAUUUUUAACUACCGGGCUAGAGUGUGUCAGAGGGAGGUGGAAUUCCGCGUGUAGCAGUGAAAUGCGUAGAUAUGCGGAGGAACACCGAUGGCGAAGGCAGCCUCCUGGGAUAACACUGACGCUCAUGCACGAAAGCGUGGGGAGCAAACAGGAUUAGAUACCCUGGGUAGUCCACGCCUAAAUCGAUGUCAACUAGCUGUUGGGGUCUUCGGACUUGGUAGCGCAGCUAACGCGUGAAG
rnacentral:rRNA from 1 species